rnacentral:rRNA from 1 species
GACGAACGCUGGCGGCGUGCUUAACACAUGCAAGUCGAACGAAGUGGCGAACGGGUGAGUAACGCGUAAUCCACCUGCCCUUCAGAGGGGGACAACAGUUGGAAACGACUGCUAAUACCGCAUACCGAAGGCGGGGAGUGCGUCUGAUUGGCUAGUUUGAGGGGUACGGGCCCACACAGGCGAUGAUAAGUAGCCGGUCUGAGAGGAUGAACGGCCACAUUGGGACUGAGACACGGCCCAGACUCCUACGGGAGGCAGCAGUGGGGAAUCUUCCGCAAUGGACGAAAGUCUGACGGAGCAACGCCGCGUGAGUGAUGACGGCCUUCGGGUUGUAAAGCUCUGUUAAUCGGGACGCGGUACCGGAAUAGAAAGCCACGGCUAACUACGUGCCAGCAGCCGCGGUAAUUC